rnacentral:tRNA from 1 species
AAAUAUGAAGCGAUUUAUUGCAAUUAGUUUCGACCUAAUUUUAGGUAAUUUUACCCAUAUUUU